GACAGAGGGUGCAAACGUUGUUCGGAAUUACUGGGCGUAAAGCGCGUGUAGGCUGCUUCGCAAGUCGGAUGUGAAAGCCCUGGGCUCAACCCAGGAAGUGCAUUCGAAAACUGCAGAGCUGGAGUCCUGGAGAGGAAGGCGGAAUUCUCGGUGUAGAGGUGAAAUUCGUAGAUAUCGAGAGGAACACCGGUGGCGAAGGCGGCCUUCUGGACAGUGACUGACGCUGAGGAGCGAAAGCGUGGGGAGCGAACAGG
rnacentral:rRNA from 1 species